ACGUAGGCAGCGAGCGUUGUUCGGAGUUACUGGGCGUAAAGGGUGUGUAGGCGGUUGUCCAAGUUUGGUGUGAAAUCUCCCGGCUCAACCGGGAGGGUGCGCCGAAAACUGGGGAACUAGAGUGCGGGAUGGGAGAGUGGAAUUCCUGGUGUAGCGGUGAAAUGCGCAGAUAUCAGGAAGAACACCCGUGGCUAAGGCGGCUCUCUAGUACGGUACUGACGCUGAGACGCGAAAGCGUGGGGAGCGAACAGGA
rnacentral:rRNA from 1 species